AUUGAACGCUGGCGGCAUGCCUAACACAUGCAAGUCGAACGGCAGCACGGCAGUAGCAAUACUGUGGGUGGCGAGUGGCGGACGGGUGAGGAAUACGUCGGAAUCUGCCCAGUCGUGGGGGAUAACUAGCCGAAAGGUUAGCUAAUACCGCAUACGACCGAGAGGUGAAAGCGGGGGACCGCAAGGCCUCGCGCGAUUGGAUGAGCCGACGUCGGAUUAGCUAGUUGGUGGGGUAAAGGCCUACCAAGGCGACGAUCCGUAGCUGGUCUGAGAGGAUGAUCAGCCACACUGGAACUGAGACACGGUCCAGACUCCUACGGGAGGCUG
rnacentral:rRNA from 1 species